GUGUUUAUGAAACUUGAAAUUACUUACCCGUGUCCGUUUUUUGUGUCUUACCUGUUUUCUAGAAGUUACCUCCAGCACGCCUGCCUCCCUGCCUGAGAAACACUUACUGCAUUCUCCCGAGUUCCAUGUGCAGCCACCUCCGAGGAUCUGUAAAUAUAACCACACCUGUAAAUAUUCACCUAUGGAAACCUCACCUGUUGGACCAACUCCUCCAAGACUCAUCUCCUUCUCCAACUUGUCCCGUCYCCAAGACCCCUGCACCUGUAUAUAAUAAACUCACUUACCUUUUUA